rnacentral:rRNA from 1 species
ACAGUUCUACUGGCUGGCUUUGCCGGCUGUAGACUGAAUAACUAUAGACAACUCUCAACAACGGAUAUCUUGGCUCCCGUAACGAUGAAGAACGCAGCGAAAUGCGAUACGUAGUGUGAAUUGCAGAAUUCCGUGAACCAUCGAAUCUUUGAACGCAAAUUGCGCUCGAGGCCUCGGCCUAGAGCAUGUCUGCCUCAGCGUCG